rnacentral:pre_miRNA from 3 species
CAACUUUCAUCCUACACCGUUGGAUCGAGAAAUGGACGUUCGAGAUUCGUCCACGUCACCCUGAGUUAAAAUUUAACUCGCAGAUCAUCUCGGACGUCCAUUUCUCGAUCCAACGGUGUAGAAUGAGAGUUG